AGUUAGAUAGCUCAGUUGGUAGAGCUUUAAAGUGGACGGACACUUGGCCGCAGGUUCGAGUCCUGCUCUGACUACUA
rnacentral:tRNA from 1 species